ACUCCUACGGGAGGCAGCAGUGGGGAAUAUUGGACAAUGGGCGAAAGCCUGAUCCAGCCAUGCCGCGUGUGUGAAGAAGGUCUUCGGAUUGUAAAGCACUUUAAGUUGGGUAGGAAGGGCAGUAAGUUAAUACCUUGCUGUUUUGUACGUUACCAACAGAAUAAGCACCGGCUAACUUCGUGCCAGCAGCCGCGGUAAUACGAAGGGGUGCAAGCGUUAAUCGGAAUUACUGGGCGUAAAGCGCGCGUAGGUGGUUCAGCAAGUUGGAUGUGAAAUCCCCGGGGCUCAACCUGGGAACUGCAUCCAAAACUACUGAGCUAGAGUACGGUAGAGGGUGGUGGAAUUUCCUGUGUAGCGGUGAAAUGCGUAGAUAUAGGAAGGAACACCAGUGGCGAAGGCGACCACCUGGACUGAUACUGACACUGAGGUGCGAAAGCGUGGGGAGCAAACAGGAUUAGAUA
rnacentral:rRNA from 1 species